UACGUAGGUCCCGAGCGUUGUCCGGAUUUAUUGGGCGUAAAGCGAGCGCAGGCGGUUUAAUAAGUCUGAAGUUAAAGGCAGUGGCUUAACCAUUGUUCGCUUUGGAAACUGUUAAACUUGAGUGCAGAAGGGGAGAGUGGAAUUCCAUGUGUAGCGGUGAAAUGCGUAGAUAUAUGGAGGAACACCGGUGGCGAAAGCGGCUCUCUGGUCUGUAACUGACGCUAAGGCUCGAAAGCGUGGGGAGCAAACAGG
rnacentral:rRNA from 1 species